rnacentral:rRNA from 1 species
AUUGAACUCUGGCGGCAUGCUUUACACAUGCAAGUCGAACGGUAACAGGCCGCAAGGUGCUGACGAGUGGCGAACGGGUGAGUAAUGCAUCGGAACGUGCCCAGUCGUGGGGGAUAACGCAGCGAAAGCUGCGCUAAUACCGCAUACGAUCUAUGGAUGAAAGCGGGGGACCGUAAGGCCUCGCGCGAUUGGAGCGGCCGAUGCCAGAUUAGGUAGGUGGUGGGGUAAAGGGUCACCAAGGCAACGAUCUGUAGCUGGUCUGAGAGGACGACCAGCCACGCUGGGACUGAGACACGGCCCAGACUCCUACGGGAGGCAGCAGUGGGGAAUUUUGGACAAUGGGCGCAAGCCUGAUCCAGCAAUGCCGCGUGCAGGAAGAAGGCCUUCGGGUUGUAAACUGCUUUUGUACGGAACGAAACGGUCCUGGUUAAUACCUGGGGCUAAUGACGGUACCGUAAGAAUAAGCACCGGCUAACUACGUGCCAGCAGCCGCAGUAAGAC